rnacentral:rRNA from 1 species
CCUACGGGGGGCAGCAGUGAGGAAUAUUGGUCAAUGGACGAGAGUCUGAACCAGCCAAGUAGCGUGAAGGAUGACUGCCCUAUGGGUUGUAAACUUCUUUUAUAUGGGAAUAAAAUGUUCCACGUGUGGGAUUUUGUAUGUACCAUAUGAAUAAGGAUCGGCUAACUCCGUGCCAGCAGCCGCGGUAAUACGGAGGAUCCGAGUGUUAUCCGGAUUUAUUGGGUUUAAAGGGAGCGUAGGUGGAUUGUUAAGUCAGUUGUGAAAGUUUGCGGCUCAACCGUAAAAUUGCAGUUGAAACUGGCAGUCUUGAGUACAGUAGAGGUGGGCGGAAUUCGUGGUGUAGCGGUGAAAUGCUUAGAUAUCACGAAGAACUCCGAUUGCGAAGGCAGUUCACUGGACUGCAACUGACACUGAGGCUCGAAAGUGUGGGUAUCAAACAGGAUUAGAUACCCGAGUAGUC